CAACAAAAUAGAAAGAAUCAAGUGCAAUUGCCGGUAUAUUGUCUCAAAUGCUUUAACAUCCUUGCAUUCAUCAGCGUCAGGACAUGAAUGAUGAGCAAGGGCAUGGACCAAAUAUGGUAGAAUGUCUUCAGGAUAUGCAGCUGAGGUACUUGCAUCACUCUGUACAGAGAGUUGACGUGCCUUUGCUUGGUAAUGCAUUUGAAUAAUAUCAGCAAGAUUUUGCUUUUCCUCUUCAAAAUCAAGGGGCUUUAANNNNNUCCAGUUAUAUUAAGUAAGAAGGCACAGGCAUACUUCACAUCCAGAAGCCGGUCCUUUAUAUACUGAUGAACUUUGCUCAGGAAUAGUUUCCUAACUUGAGGGAAGGUGAUCUCUGUUAUCCUUAAA
rnacentral:misc_RNA from 1 species